GAUGAACGCUGGCGGCGUGCCUAAUACAUGCAAGUCGAGCGAACAGACGAGGAGCUUGCUCCUCUGACGUUAGCGGCGGACGGGUGAGUAACACGUGGAUAACCUACCUAUAAGACUGGGAUAACUUCGGGAAACCGGAGCUAAUACCGGAUAAUAUAUUGAACCGCAUGGUUCAAUAGUGAAAGACGGUGUUGCUGUCACUUAUAGAUGGAUCCGCGCCGCAUUAGCUAGUUGGUAAGGUAACGGCUUACCAAGGCAACGAUGCGUAGCCGACCUGAGAGGGUGAUCGGCCACACUGGAACUGAGACACGGUCCAGACUCCUACGGGAGGCAGCAGUCGGGAAUCUUCCGCAAUGGGCGAAAGCUUGACGGAGCAACGCCGCGUGAGUGAUGAAGGUCUUCGGAUCGUAAAACUCUGUUAUUAGUGAAGAACCAAUGUGUAAGUAACUAUGCACGUCUUGACGGUACCUAAUCAGAAAGCCACGGCUAACUACGUG
rnacentral:rRNA from 1 species